UGUAUGCGGAUAGCAUGGUGAUUAAUAUCACAUUUAUUUUAAAACAUUACUGAAUGCGUAUUAGCCAUUGGUCACUGGCCCAAGAAAGAGAUAUUAACUGGGAAAAGAUUUAAACAAAAUAUUUACACAUUAAAAAAAAAUACACAUGAAAACACUGAACCUGUGAUGUGAAAAUUAAAAAAAAAUUGAAACCCUUAGGAGUCAAGAAUGCUUUUUGUUUUUUUUUUAGAAAAUGUCCUACAAUGUGCAUUUAUUCCAUAUCAUUGUACAAGGUUUCAUACAGUUAUAACUCUUAAGACAAUGUGUUUUCUUCACAAUUGUAUGUGGUGCCCACAUCUUUCACUUGAACAUGCUGGAAAUCCACAUUGCAUGCUAUCCCACAAGUUGUAACAAGCUGCAAAUGUGCCAAUUAGAAGAGCACGGUGGCUUACAAAGCUUCGGCUUUAGUGAAUUCUGGCAGACAGGAUCCACAGUCUCACCUCAUUGUAAAACUCAUGACAAAAUAAAUUAGUGUUGGACAGACUUGUAAAUCAUACAAUAUUUAAGGAGAGACCACAGUGGGACCUUUUGUUUAAAGUAGCACCAAUCCACACCCGAUUGUGUUUCAAACGUUACCCUUCCUGGUCAUUGGCAGUUUGAGUGGAAAUCUUUCUGCUUCCUCAAGGAUUCCUGGACUGACUAAGCAUACUGUGUUGCUAAACUCUCUACGGUGUGGCAAUGUCAACUCGGGAAGUGGCACAUUUAAAUCAUUGUCACCUUGAACACGGGCUUGCCUCUGUGUGUGUGUGUGUGUGUGUGUGUGUGUGUCUUCCCCACCCCCAAUCUAGCUGGGAAUCUUGUGGAUGUUUCUGUGACAGUGGUAAAAGUAAACAAAAAAUGCAUUAAGGGGUUUUAUGGUAAGCAUGGUGUUUGAAAACAAAACGAAACAAAAAAAUAAAAACAACAUGAAAGAAUGUGGUCGCAGCUAAGGAGGUUCUCACAUGUUGUUUAACUCCAGUAAAGUCUGAUCCAGCAUCUGGUGCAUACUAAGGUUUUCUUCUUUGGCAUGAGCCACUUUCUCU
rnacentral:lncRNA from 1 species